rnacentral:rRNA from 1 species
UAGGGAAUCUUCGGCAAUGGGGGGAACCCUGACCGCGCAACGCCGCGUGAGUGAAGAAGGUUUUCGGAUCGUAAAGCUCUGUUGUUAAGGAAGAACUAGUGUGAGAAUGGAAAGUUCAUGCUGUGACGGUACUUAACCAGAAAGGGACGGCUAACUACGUGCCAGCAGCCGCGGUAAUACGUAGGUCCCGAGCGUUGUCCGGAUUUAUUGGGCGUAAAGCGAGCGCAGGCGGUUAGAAAAGUCUGAAGUGAAAGGCAGUGGCUCAACCAUUGUAGGCUUUGGAAACUGUUUAACUUGAGUGCGGAAGGGGAGAGUGGAAUUCCAGGUGUGGCGGUGAAAUGCGUAGAUAUAUGGAGGAACACCGGUGGCGAAAGCGGCUCUCUGGUCUGUAACUGACGCUGAGGCUCGAAAGCGUGGGGGGCAAAAAGG